GAUGAACGCUGGCGGCGUGCCUAAUACAUGCAAGUCGAGCGAACAGACGAGGAGCUUGCUCCUCUGACGUUAGCGGCGGACGGGUGAGUAACACGUGGAUAACCUACCUAUAAGACUGGGAUAACUUCGGGAAACCGGAGCUAAUACCGGAUAAUAUAUUGAACCGCAUGGUUCAAUAGUGAAAGACGGUUUUGCUGUCACUUAUAGAUGGAUCCGCGCCGCAUUAUCUAGUUGGUGAGGUAGUGGCUUACCAAGGCAACGAUGCGUAGCCGACCUGAGAGGGUGACCGGCCACAUUGGGACUGAGGUAGGGACCAGACGCCUACGGGAGGCAGCAGUGGGGAAUAGUGCACAAUGGGCGGAAGCCAGAUGCAGCAGCGCCGCGUGCGGGAUGACGGCCGUCGGGUUGUAAACAGCUUUCGCCUGUGACGAAGCGUGAGUGACGGUAAUGGGUAAGGAAGCACCGGCUAACUACGUG
rnacentral:rRNA from 1 species